CGCCAGACUCCUACGGGAGGCAGCAGUGGGGAAUAUUGCACAAUGGGGGAAACCCUGAUGCAGCGACGCCGCGUGAGCGAUGAAGUAUUUCGGUAUGUAAAGCUCUAUCAGCAGGGAAGAAAAUGACGGUACCUGACUAAGAAGCCCCGGCUAACUACGUGCCAGCAGCCGCGGUAAUACGUAGGGGGCAAGCGUUAUCCGGAUUUACUGGGUGUAAAGGGAGCGUAGACGGCUGUGCAAGCCAGAUGUGAAAGCCCGGGGCUCAACCCCGGGACUGCAUUUGGAACUGUGUAGCUGGAGUGUCGGAGAGGCAGGCGGAAUUCCUAGUGUAGCGGUGAAAUGCGUAGAUAUUAGGAGGAACACCAGUGGCGAAGGCGGCCUGCUGGACGAUGACUGACGUUGAGGCUCGAAAGCAUGGGUAGCGAACAGGAUUAGAUACCCGAGUAGG
rnacentral:rRNA from 1 species